GUGCAAGCAGCCGCGGUAAUACGUAGGGCGCAAGCGUUGUCCGGAAUUAUUGGGCGUAAAGAGCUCGUAGGCGGCUUGUCACGUCGAUUGUGAAAGCUCGGGGCUUAACCCCGAGUCUGCAGUCGAUACGGGCUAGCUAGAGUGUGGUAGGGGAGAUCGGAAUUCCUGGUGUAGCGGUGAAAUGCGCAGAUAUCAGGAGGAACACCGGUGGCGAAGGCGGAUCUCUGGGCCAUUACUGACGCUGAGGAGCGAAAGCGUGGGGAGCGAACAGGAUUAGAAACCCGCGUAGUCC
rnacentral:rRNA from 1 species